rnacentral:rRNA from 1 species
UGAUUCCUACGGGGCGCAGCAGUGAGGAAUAUUGGUCAAUGGACGGAAGUCUGAACCAGCCAUGCCGCGUGCAGGAUGACGGCGCUAUGAGUUGUAAGCUGCUUUUGUAUUAGGGUAAACACCCCUACGUGUAGGGGCUUGAAAGUAUAAUACGAAUAAGGAUCGGCUAACUCCGUGCCAGCAGCCGCGGUAAUACGGAGGAUCCAAGCGUUAUCCGGAUUUAUUGGGUUUAAAGGGUGCGUAGGCGGUUUGAUAAGUUAGAGGUGAAAUCCCGG